rnacentral:rRNA from 1 species
UCCUCAUUUAAUUAUUUGAGGUAUGGCCUGCUCAAUGCAAUUUGUAAAUAGCCGCAGUACUUUGACUGUGCAAAGGUAGCAUAAUAAAUUGGCCUUUAAUUGGGGUCUGGAAUGAAUGGCUGAACAAGGAUUUGACUGUCUUGAAAUAAGAUUUUUUGAAUUUGAAUUGUUUGUAAAAAUGCAAACAUAAAGGAGAGGGACGAGAAGACCCUGUAGAUCUUUAAAAAAUUAUAAAAAUACUUUUUAUUUUUUUUUUUAUUUGGGGAAAAUCCUGAAAUGAAGAUUAAAAAGAAACUUCGGUUAAUUUUCAAAAAUUUAAAUAAUUAAAUUUCGAUCCAUAAUAUAGUGAAAAGAUGAAAAAGUUACCUCAGGGAUAACAGGACAAUGAUUUCUUAUGGAGAUCUUAUCUUAGGAGACGUUUGUUACCUCGAUGUUGAAUUAAGUUAUCUUAUUAAAGAAGAAGUUCUUAUAGUUGGUCUGUUCGACCAUUAAAAAC